AGUUUCUGCAUUCCCAGUUUUUCUGGACAUUUUAAACAAGAUUGCCAUCGCAACCCAAACCUGACAGGACCAAAGCCAACCUCAACUCCUUCUGAACCUGGUCCCACUCUUGCUCUUGAUCUCACUCUGUUGCCUAGGCUGGAAUGUGGUGGCAUGAUCACAGCUCACUGCAGCCACAAAUUCCUGGGCUCAAGCAAUCCUCCUGCUUCAGCCUCCUGAGUAGCUGGGACUAUAGGCAAGCGCUACUGUGCUCAGCUCUCACUCUCUGGCUGAAUGUAGAGGACUCUGAAGGCUUAGGCAAGAGGGGAGUUAUAAGGCACCACAGAACCCUGAAUGACUGCAUGGAGCAGAACCCUUCGCAAACCUGCUCUUCAGGCCUCCUUUUUGAGACAGCUGGAAAAGAUUCUUUCUCCUUUUCUAGCAAUUACUUCCUCCCUCCGACUCAAAUGCCUACUCAGCCUCUAGUAUUCAGUGGCUGCUGCAGUUUGCGGGGUUCUUCUCCAGACCAUAGAUGCCUCAGUUUUUGCAGUACCUGGAG
rnacentral:lncRNA from 1 species